CCUGCAGGGCAUGUGCAGCGAACAACAAUAUAUACUGCAGUAUACAGGCUGGCCAAAACAGGGUGGAGGGUGUGGUCAGCAUUGUGGUGAAGCUGCAGGCCUCCAACCUCACCUAUUCACAUGGCAAUGCCUCUGCUUCACAGCGCAGCAAUAAUUUCAAGGAGGAGCUGAAGAAGUUUUACAGCAACAGAGGAAAACCCAACCUUCACUGCAUGCUGCUGGACACAUACAUCCGAGCUUUUGUCUUGUAAUAGGUGCGGGUGUAUGAAUAGUCUGCCCCCCUUGCAAUGACUGAUUUUCAACCAGCGUCUGACCACCUGGUUUUGCUGCUUUGGCUGUGCAGGUUCGCACCUAUUUAAGUUCUGCUGGUAAGUCGCCGGGUCUGGGGGCGGGGGAGGGCCAUAGAGCAUCAACUCUCUCGGCAGGCAGAAUAGUGCUAGCAGGCUCUACCCGUCCUGAAGUGGCUAUCAGGCUCUACCUUGGGAGCACACUGCCAGCAGCAGCAGCGACAACACGGGCCUAUCCAGCACAGCAUUGGUGGCCUUGAUCGUAACAACUUCCCCGGCAGGCACAGUGCUAGGAUUUUUCACAGUGCCCAGUGCUAAGUUUGAAACAUGUGCAACCCCCAACACGUGUGUGCGGGCACAUGCAGGAGCCCAGAUGUCGGAAAGGAUGGAGAGAGAAUGGAGGAGAGAAGGCGUACCUGCUGCAGCGGCUGCAGCAGCUGUCGUGUUGCCGCGUGAAAUAGCGA
rnacentral:lncRNA from 1 species